rnacentral:rRNA from 1 species
GUCCACGCCGUAAACGUUGGGCACUAGGUGUGGGGCUCGAUCGACGGGCUCCGUGCCGUAGCUAACGCAUUAAGUGCCCCGCCUGGGAAGUACGGCCGCAAGGCUAAAACUCAAAGGAAUUGACGGGGGCCCGCACAAGCGGCGGAGCAUGUUGCUUAAUUCGAUGCAACGCGAAGAACCUUACCAAGGCUUGACAUGUACGGAAAAGCCGUAGAGAUACGGUGUCCUUCGGGUCGUACACAGGUGGUGCAUGGCUGUCGU